rnacentral:rRNA from 1 species
GACAGAGGGGGCAAGCGUUGCUCGGAAUUACUGGGCGUAAAGGGCGCGUAGGCGGGAUGGCAAGUCGGUCGUGAAAUCCCCGGGCUCAACCCGGGAACUGCGUCCGAUACUGGAAGGCUUGAAUCCGGGAGAGGGAUGCGGAAUUCCAGGUGUAGCGGUGAAAUGCGUAGAUAUCGUGAGGAACACCAGAGGCGAAGGCGGCUACCUGGACAAUUGCUGACGCUCAGGCACGAAAGCGUGGGGAGCAAAAGGG